rnacentral:lncRNA from 1 species
AACAAGAGAAACUUACAUUGCAUUCAAGUAUGACUCUUCCACCAGAGAGAGCUCCAAUCGCGUCCUUCAAGCCUCAUUAAUGUGUAGAACCAACUUCUCGCUUCUCUUUGGUUCGUCCAUUGGCAACGAGUAGCCGGAAAAAAAAUUAAAAAAUCCCCGCGUUCCUGGGAGCCAUUUAAAUAAGCUUUGGUCACUAACGAAGUUCGUAAAGCUUACUCUAUCAGGCGUGUCUCAGUCCCAAGAAGAGCUUCCUGUCGUGAGGUAAAAGACGAAGAAACCAUGGUCGUCGUGGCUCAAGCUAAAAGCCUGAAAGAAGAAAGUGACCAGGAAUACUCCACUCAAUCGUACCGCUUCGUAUAAAUACUGCUGGUCGGUAAAAGAAAUCAGCUGAGCAGUCCGCCACCUAUCUCGG